rnacentral:rRNA from 1 species
UACGAAGGGGGCUAGCGUUGUUCGGAUUUACUGGGCGUAAAGGGCGCGUAGGCGGCAUAUUAAGUCAGCUGUGAAAUCUCCGAGCUUAACUCGGAACUGUCAGCUGAUACUGAUGUGCUAGAGUGCAGAAAGGGCAAUCAGAAUUCUUGGUGUAGCGGUGAAAUGCGUAGAUAUCAAGAGGAAUACCUGAGGCGAAGGCGGGUUGCUAGGCUGACACUGACGCUGAGGCGCGAAAGCCAGGGGAGCAAACGGG